UCUUGGCCGAUUUUGAGACUCGGCAGCGGUAACAGCAGGUUGUUUGUGCUGUUCGUUUGCUUAAAUUUCUGAGUUUUCGAGUGUAGAACUUCGUAUAGUUUUUUUUUUCAAGAACGGCAGUAACAACACCGCUUCAUUUCGGUUUGGAAAACGAUUUUAUUAUAUGAUUGAAGGGUUUCUACUUUGCUGGAAAUCGUGUUGCACGAUUUGGACGGCACGAACAGGCUGCUAGGGACGACCCAGCGUGAGCUAAUAUGCUGUUGCACUAUCAAAACAAUGGCAUACUGGCUGACAGGACCGCUGCUUGAGCAUCAUCUGCGACUCAAAGACUUCCAGGUCAUUGGGCUGAUGAAUUCAAAACAAGAAUAUCCGGGCCUGAAUAGCGGUGUGCAGUCUCCCAUGCCACCCCAGAUGGCCAAAGCUGUCACCUUUGGUGCAUUGCUUGGGUGGGUGCUGACUUAUUCUCACAUCUGUUGUCUUUAUUUGCCAUUGGUAGUGAACUGACCAUAGCCAUACCUUGGGCUAGCUUGCCACCUGGUGGACAGGGGCACGCUAUUAGCAGCAGGUGCUACGGUCACUUCCAGGUGACUGGGCUAAUGAAUUCGAAGCAAGCAUAUCCGGGCCUGAAUAGUGGUGUGCAGUCUCCCAUGCCACCCCAGAUGGCCAAAGCUGUCACCUUUGGUGCAUUGCUUUGGUGGGUGCUGACUUAUUCUCACAUCUGUUAACUUUAUUUGCCAUUGGUAGUGAAUGGACGAAUGCCCUACCUUGGGCUAGCUCACUACGUGGUGGAAAUGGACACACCAUUAACAGCUGGCACUAUAGUCACUUCCAGGUCAUUGGUCUAAAUGAAUUCAAAGCAAGCAUAUCCGGGCCUGAAUAGCGGUGUGCAGUCUCCCAUUCCACCCCAGAUGGCCAAAGCUGUCACCUUUGGUGCAUUGCUUGGGUGGGUGCUGACUUAUUCUCGCAUCUGUCGUCGUUAUGCGCCAUUGGUAGUGAGCUGAGCAUCUUCCCUACCUUGGCAUAGUUUGCUACCUGAUGGACAUGGGCAUGCCAUUAGCAUCAGGCUCUACGGUCACUUGCCCCUAUGCGUCGGGACUGAGAAAAUGUGUUUACUCUGGAAACUGGGUGGAUUGAGCACUGGUGGAGGGGUAAAACCCAGAGGUGCAGGAAGGCACUGACGAAAUCUCAAGCAAAAAGGAAAAAGAAAAAAAAGGAAAGCUGCCCCAAUAGGACCAAGAGGGCUGCCCUGCAAGUGUUCAAGUCAUUCUUGAAACAAGAGAUGCUCAAACUCUUGGGAAGCCCGGUUCUGCUCCAGGGUGCAGCAUGUGUUGUGAGGUUCGUCAGUGUUCAAAACAUUAAUAAAAAAAUGAAA